rnacentral:rRNA from 1 species
CUCAGGAUGAACGCUGGCGGCGUGCCUAAUACAUGCAAGUCGAACGAGUUCUCGUUGAUGAUCGGUGCUUGCACCGAGAUUCAACAUGGAACGAGUGGCGGACGGGUGAGUAACACGUGGGUAACCUGCCCUUAAGUGGGGGAUAACAUUUGGAAACAGAUGCUAAUACCGCAUAGAUCCAAGAACCGCAUGGUUCUUGGCUGAAAGAUGGCGUAAGCUAUCGCUUUUGGAUGGACCCGCGGCGUAUUAGCUAGUUGGUGAGGUAAUGGCUCACCAAGGCGAUGAUACGUAGCCGAACUGAGAGGUUGAUCGGCCACAUUGGGACUGAGACACGGCCCAAACUCCUACGGGAGGCAGCAGUAGGGAAUCUUCCACAAUGGACGCAAGUCUGAUGGAGCAACGCCGCGUGAGUGAAGAAGGCUUUCGGGUCGUAAAACUCUGUUGUUGGAGAAGAAUGGUCGGCAGAGUAACUGUUGUCGGCGUGACGGUAUCCAACCAGAAAGCCACGGCUAACUACGUGCCAGCAGCCGCGGUAAUACGUAGGUGGCAAGCGUUAUCCGGAUUUAUUGGGCGUAAAGCGAGCGCAGGCGGUUUUUUAAGUCUGAUGUGAAAGCCCUCGGCUUAACCGAGGAAGCGCAUCGGAAACUGGGAAACUUGAGUGCAGAAGAGGACAGUGGAACUCCAUGUGUAGCGGUGAAAUGCGUAGAUAUAUGGAAGAACACCAGUGGCGAAGGCGGCUGUCUGGUCUGUAACUGACGCUGAGGCUCGA